AUGCUUAUUUCACUUAUAUAAAAGAACCACUCAAACACAGCUCUUCUCAUGCUGAAGCUGAAAAUACUGAAUACCAAAUCAAGCAACAUUUAUCUUGCGGAGAAGUCUCAAAAAGUACGUAAGGAUGGAGCUACAGUCCAAAAAACAGGUGUACAAAGCUAUUGCUGAAUUCCUGCCUGGGUGUGAAAAAGGGACCAGUUGGUGUUAAGGAAACAAAAUAGCUACUCUAUUCCAAGCCAGCCUGUGCCAGUAAGUUCUCAGAUACACGAUGAGAAGGAAAAUGAAAGGAUGGUCUGCCUUUGGGGUGAGACACCAGCAGCAAAACCUGGAGUGAGAUGACUGCAGACUGUUCUCUCUCUCCCUCCUCUUAGGGACAGCAAAAGCAGCCAAAAGGAGAAUAAUGUCCCCAAAAUAAUCUGAGUUUCAUGGGAGGGAUUUAAAAAAUAAAAUAAAGAUUGACUAGUCCAAACCUCUGUA